GAUGAACGCUGGCGGCGUGCCUAAUACAUGCAAGUCGAGCGAACAGACGAGGAGCUUGCUCCUCUGACGUUAGCGGCGGACGGGUGAGUAACACGUGGAUAACCUACCUAUAAGACUGGGAUAACUUCGGGAAACCGGAGCUAAUACCGGAUAAUAUAUUGAACCGCAUGGUUCAAUAGUGAAAGACGGUUUUGCUGUCACUUAUAGAUGGAUCCGCGCCGCAUUAGCUAGUUGGUAAGGUAACGGCUUACCAAGGCAACGAUGCGUAGCCGACCUGAGAGGGUGAUCGGCCACACUGGAACUGAGACACGGUCCAGACUCCUACGGGAGGCAGCAGUAGGGAAUCUUACGCAAUGGGCGAAAGCCUGACGGAGCAACGCCGCGUGAGUGAUGAAGGUCUUCGGAUCGUAAAACUCUGUUAUUAGGGAAGAACAAAUGUGUAAGUAACUAUGCACGUCUUGACGGUAACUAAUCAGAAAGCCCCGGCUAACUACGUG
rnacentral:rRNA from 1 species